AUGUCGUCCAGCGCGUCCGCCUCCGCCAUCGUCGCCGACAAGGUAAGCGGCCACCACGUACUCAAGAUCGAUGGCUUUUUAGGCAUGAUGGUCCUACCCAGCGGGGAGAGCGUCACGUCCUGCCCGUUCACGGUCGGAGACCAUCUCUGGCGAAUCAGUUGCUACCCCAAGGGGAAAGAUUUGUGGCACCGGGAGUUCAUAUCCCAGUUUGCUCUCAUCGGCGAAGAGCAGGCGAGCUUCUUCCGCAAGAAGAAUAAGCCAACAAAGGUCGCAUCGCGUAUAGAGAAGUUUGCCAGCAAAGGUGAUUCUUGGCAAUGUCUAACGUUCAUCAAGAGGACAGCGUUGGUGAAAUCCAAGUACCUCAAGGACGACUCCUUCACAAUCAGGUGCGACAUCGUCGUCUUCAAGAAGUCCUGCGCCCAAGAGGGGGCGGCAGAGCCCGCCCCACCAAGGUCCGUCUCCGUGCCGCCAUCCGACCUGAGCCACCACCUCAGCGGCCUCCUCGAGACCGGGAAGGGCGCCGACGUGGUGUUCGAGGUCGCCGGCCACAAGUUCUUCGCGCACCGCUGGCUGCUCGCGGCCCGGUCGCCGGUCUUCAAUGCGGAGCUCUUUGGGGCAAUGAAGGAGAGCGACGUCGCCGCCGGCGUGGUCCGCAUCGGCGACAUGGAGGCGGGGGUGUUCGAGGUGAAAGAUAUGAAGCGUUCCUACUCCAUCGAGGGAGCCACGUGGUAA
rnacentral:rRNA from 1 species